GGGGAAAAUAAAACUGACAAAAUAACGUUGGAGAAAUAACCACUGCCGACUUACCAUUAAUUGGCUUGACGCCGGAGUGAUCUGGAGCAGGUGACGGUGGCUCGGGAUCAGACUCUGGCUCCAGAUCUGGAGCAGGUGACGGUGGCUCGGGAUCAGACUCUGGCUCCAGAUCUGGAGCAGGUGACGGCGGCUCGGGAUCAGACUCUGGCUCCAGAUCUGGAGCAGGUGACGGUGGCUCGGGAUCAGGCUCUGGCUCCAGAUCUGGAGCAGGUGACGGUGGCUCGGGAUCAGACUCUGGCUCCAGAUCUGGAGCAGGUGACGGUGGCUCGGGAUCAGACUCUGGCUCCAG